rnacentral:rRNA from 1 species
GAGAUUAACAUGUAAAACCAGGCCUGCUCACUGAUAAAAUUAUUAAAUAGCCGCGGUAUUCUGACCGUGCAAAGGUCCAUAAACAUUAGUUUUUUAAUUGAAAACUUGUAUGAAUGGUUGGACAAAAAAAAAGCUGUCUCUUGUGUUAGGAUUGAAUUUAACUUUUAAGUGAAAAGGCUUAAAUACUCUAGAGGGACGAUAAGACCCUAUAAAGCUUUAUAAAUUUAAAGAUUUUGUAUAUUUUUAUAUAAAAAUAAAUUCUAAAAGUUUAUUUGGUUGGGGCGACAAUGGUAUAAUUUAAAUAACUGCUAUUAAAUUUAACAAAUAUAUUUGUUUUAUAAAAAUAAUUGAUCCUUUAUAAGGAUUUUAAGAUCAAGUUACUUUAGGGAUAACAGCGUUAUUUUUCCUGAGAGUUCUUAUCAAAGGAAAAGUUUGCGACCUCGAUGUUGAAUUAAAAUGUCUUUUUAGUGCAGCAGCUAUGAAAGAAGGUCUGUUCGACCUUUAAUAUUUUACAUGAUCUGAGUUCAGACCGGA